AUUUCAGAAUUAAAAAAUGAGCACGCCACAGCCACUGCUGGCAUAGGCUCAGCAGUCCCCGUUGUCACCCCCAAAGCAGUCAAUGCAACAAAGGUAACUAUUACUAUUAUUUACCGGUCUUGUUAAAAAUACUUUUUGAAUUCGAAUUAUAUGCUGCUUUUACCUCUAGGAAAUCACCAAAAUUCAUGUAUAUGUAUUUAUAUCUUUAAAACCCUUGGUGAAAUUUUAUUAUCAAACGACAAUUUAUUAAAUUUUAUGAUGACACUGUAUAUAAUUACACAAUUUAAUUUCAUUAUAAUCACUACAAUAUUUUAAAUGUUACAGACGCUUCACAUAAAAAGAAAAUCUAGUUGUGAGAUCUUUAAUACACUUAUUACUUAUAUAUGGCGAACAUCGAUUACAUAUACAGUACACCUGUAUAAGGAAGCAGUAUGAGUUGAUGCAUACAGCAAUUAUUAUUAUAAUUAACAUCUUGAAGUACAUUGGAAAACAAAGUCUUAAUAUUUGUAUGUCUUGAAAACUAAGCCUAUGCUUGUGCUACAAAUGGCAAAUCUUUGAAGAAAAAAACCCAUAACCAUGUUAAUAUAGUAAAUGGUGACAAUAGGAGUCUGGGUGAUUCAAACCAUUUACCAGAAUAUGUGUGCUACAAAUAGUCCAAAGAGGUACAGAUCUGAUAACGACAAUUUAUGUUCAACAGUAUUAUCCUGAAUCAUCCGAGUAUUUGCAUGACAUAUAGGCUAUCGAUCAGUAGAGCAAAGUAGCAGUCAUAAUAUUGGAGCUCUUUAAAAUUGAAUAUUAAAAUCGACUUCCAAGGAAACCUAGAAAAUUUGUUAACAAAUGCAUACAAAUUUAAAUCGAAUAUGGGAAAGGUCUGAAAUGUAUGAAAUGUUGGUGUGCACAGGCUCCAUUAAAAAUUACUUAUCUUACUUUUAAUAGUUACUAAUCAUUAUUAUUAUAUUAUAUUAUAUUGAUUUUAGGGCCUUUGAUGAAAAAAGCUGCCAAAGGUGAACUUUUUGAUUGUUUUAAGGAGACACGAAUAUAAAAAAGUUAGUUAUUGUUAAUACAACAGAAUUUCUUCUACUAGAUUUCUACCAAAAUACAUAAAGCACUACAAGUAAUUCUUAUUUCAUUUUAAAGAAGCCCAAAUUAAAGCAAGCAAUUUUACACUUAUAAGAAAAGCAUGUAUAGUUAAUCUGGUUCAAUGAAAUGAUCUAAAUAUUCUUAUAUCUCCUAAAAUAAUUUUGUUUAUAUAUAUCCACCACAAUGAUUAUAUUGUUUUUAAUAGUUCUUAACUUCUGAAUUGUAAUUUAACGUUUAAUAAUAAUUUGAAAAGACAAAUUUUUAUAUUGUAUACUCUAAUGUUUAAAUAGUAUUAAAACAAUAUGCGUGCAUAGGGUAUACAUCCUGCAAAAAUGUGUGCCUACUUUAAAUUUUUGAUGAAAAAUUGUUUAAUUAUUUAAAACUGAUAAGUGUAACUGAGUAGGUAUAAUUAUUGCUAAAUAUACUAUAUAUUUACUAAAUAUAUUUCGCCAUGGGUAUAAUUUAUUCUGUAUCAUUAUUUUUUAGGAUGUUAAAAUUAAAUUUGUAUUGUAGUUAAUUGAAGAUUUUAACUCUGUUUAUCU
rnacentral:lncRNA from 1 species